AGACCAAUCACAAUGUUAUCGCAAUGUUUAUUAGAACCAUAAAGAUUCGAUUUUCCCAUUGUAGAAACACAAUCAAACUCUCUUAUAGACAAAC